rnacentral:lncRNA from 1 species
CCAGCCCCAACAACCAUUCCGCCAACAAGCAGAACUAAUAAUUCCCCAGCAACCUCAACAACCAUUCCCUCUGCAGCCACACCAACCAUAUACACAACAAACCAUCUGGAGUAUGGUCUAGUCAUCAGGGGCCUAUGAAGCGACAAGUUGUAAUACUAAAUGGGUGGAUCAUCAUCCUUUAGUCAACGGAGUGUUUAAUGUAAUGAUGAUAAAUAAAGUGAUGUGCACCAUCAUGUNNNNNNNNNNUUUUUUGUUUCCCUUGCGACGUUCCCCAACAGCCGCAACAACCAUUCCCCCAACAAACACACCAACCAUUUCCCCAACAACCACAACAAAUAAUUUUCCACCAACCCCAACAAUCAUUCCCUCUGCAACCUCGACAACCAUUUCCCCAACCCCAUCCAUUCCCCAGCAGCGACCCCAACAAGCAUUCCCCCUACAAAUGCAACAACCAUUUCCCCAGGAAUCGGAACAAAUAAUUCCCCAACAACCAUUCCCUCUACAACCACAACAAUCAUUCCCCCAACAACCACAACAACCAUUUCCCCAGCCCCAACAACAAUUCCGCCAACAAGCAGAACUAAUAAUUCCCUAGCAACCUCAACAACCAUUCCCUCUGCAGCCACACCAAAUAUACACAACAAACCAUCUCGAGUAUGGUAUAGCCAUCAGGGGCCAAUGAAGUGAAAAUUUGUAAUACUAAAUGGGUGGAUCAUCAUCCUUUCGUCAACGAGUGUUUAAUGUAAUGAUGAUAAAUAAAGUGAUGUGCACCAUCAUGUGUAACCCCGGCCUAUACUAGUUCAAAUGAGAAUAAAAGACAAAGAAAGUUCUUGUCACAAGGACAGUGCUGGUAAUUAUUAAAUUCGUGCCAUAUUUAGAUUUUCAUCCCUAACUACAAUUUGAGUGAUAUCCAUUAUCUGCCUAUUUAUGAUGUGAAGUCCUAUGAGCCUAACAUAAUUAACGGUUGAUAGCUUGGUUUGAAUUGAAUUAUUAGCAAAUAAGGAGUAAGGAAUAAUUNNNNNNNNNNGUUAAAUUCAUGCCAUAUUUAGAUUUUCAUCCCUACUACAAUUUGAGUGAUAUGCAUUAUCUACCUAUUUAUGAAGUGAAGUCCUAUGAGCCUAACAUAAUUAAUGGUUGAAAGCUUGGUUUGAAUUGAAUUAUUAGCAAAUAAGGAGUAAGGAAUAAUUGCAAAUUAUCCCUUCGAUGUCUAGCCAUAUGAAUUGUGUGACCUUAUCGUUUGUAAUGAUUCUAGAUUGUACAUAUACAUUUUUCUAAUUGUUGAGCGACAUAUGAAGCAACAUAUGGUGACCGACCACUGGUCUCGGUGUAAAUCUCAGUAGCAGCUUUAUAUCGAAGGGAGUGAGAUGAUGAUGACUUCGUGUUGAAUUUUGUAGUUAUUUAAAUAGUUUCUAAAAUGGACCGGUUGCUCAUAUUAGAAAAUAUGGGCUUGCGCCAUAUCGAGUUUUUGGAAAUGGACAAGAUGAAGGGAUGAUUGAAUUUAUGCCUUCUAUUUCUCUUGCACAUGAAACUUGAGAUUGAAUAUGGUGGCAUUACAAGUUACUUACAGAAGUUCCAUAGACUAAUUAUGUCCACCUAGUAUAGCUACCCAAUGGUCGGAAGCUUUUAUUAAAAUUAGUGUUGGUCACACUAAAAUUAAUAUAUUAUGGGUGUUGGAUGUAGGAUGUUUUUUAAAACUUCAAUCUCCUUUAUUCAUUCAUAAGAAUCAUCGCAUUUUUACAACCAUGGGGACAAUUUCCUCAAGGGUAGACUGUAAGAAAAGAUUAGGACGGGAAUAUAUAUCCAGUCUAGCCAAUUCAUGUACAAAGAUGGUUGGUUUCCAUAUAACGGGGUUCAUAAAUUAUAUGAGUUAAAGUCUAAGGGCGUAAAAUAUCAGUCAUCAAAAAUAGCACUUGCAAUGAACGACAAGCUCCCCUCUUUGAUGGUAGUGAUCACUUCUAUAUUAUCCUCAUUGAUCUCAAAUUUAUUGCAUCCGCUCAUAUGUGCAAGAUUUAGACCAAACCUUCAGGAUAGGGCCUCUACUAUAAAAGCAUUAUAACUGGAAUCAACCUUCCCAUUUGUAUCUCCAAUGAAUUUUACAUUGUUACCCUUUAUCACCGCUCCAAAAACACCCUGAUAUGAGUCAAGGAUCAAACGAUGCAUCUAUGUUGAGUUUCGCANNNNNNNNNNAUAAUCAACCUUCCCAUUUGUAUCUGCAAUGAAUUUUACAUUGUUAACCUUUAUCACCGCUCCAAAAACACCUUGAUAUGAGUCAAGGAUCAAACGAUGCAUCUAUGUUGAGUUUCGCAUGGUCUCUUUGGGACAGUGUCUGCUUCGCAUUUUAUGCAACUCUAGAAAUUAUGAUAGCUAUAUAAUCUUCAAAAUGUACGCCAAAUUUGUGAAUGCAUUUUUUGGGUUGUUGUAUAUUUAGCAAUCUUCAACCACGAAUCAUGUACUGCUGCAUGUAUGAGACUAUUCAUGUUUUCUUUGAGGAAAGGAGACUAAUCAUGUUGCUUUAGAGAAAAACUUAUGAAUACAAAUGAAUAAACCAAGAAGUUUCUUGGUUGUCGAAGUAGAUUCUGAGAAGGGCUAUGUGCAUUAUUGGGAAUAAGCUUGUAAGCCACAGCGAGGCAGCAAGGUACACGGGACUCGGGGCGACCCUUGACGAUGCAGCCAUGGUGAAGAAACAGCUCGACACCGUGCCAGACCGACUAUACACCACGGUGGCCGCCAUCGAGAAGUUCUGCGACACUCAUGCGUUCGUUCAGGNNNNNNNNNNUGCUCGAAACCGUGCCAGACCGGCUAUACACCGCGGUGGCCGCCAUCGAGAAUUUCUGCGACACUCAUGCGUUCGUUCAGGUGCUCGGGCGGUUGAAAGCGUUCGAGGAGAGGAGGUAGCAACGCACACACGCCGGCGGCAAGCGGGCAGCUGAUGCUCACGACAGCCCAAUGGGAGGCGCGGCGGCGACAGAAGGACGACGGCUCCGACGACUACGGGGCAUCGAGCACGUCUUCGGGCAGCUGGAAGAAGAGUCGCACGCGCAACUACAACUGCGGGCAGCGGGGCCACUUCGAGCGCGACUGUCCCAAACCGUGGUAGGUGCCGGCAGCGGAGCUGGCGUUGCAGGCAGAUGUCGGCGACGACUUCGGCGGGCUGGGGCUCCUCUAGGCCGUAGCUUAGGGGGGUGUUGGAAAAACUUGUAAGCCACGACCAGGCCGGCUCGGGCGCGUGUGCCUGAGCGCGCGAGGCUGAAUCGAGUGCGGCCAUGGUAGGUGACUCGGGCGUGUCAGGUGCGUUUGUGCGUGUGUGACUGCGUGUACGGGGAAGUCCUUGCGGAUGCGCAGGGUGUGCAUGAGCAUAGGUCUUCAUCGCCGAGGCUUGACCUGUGACCAGUGGCGGAGGCAGGGGUGCUCGCAAGGGUCGUGGCUCCCACUAUGCUCUCACAAAUACACCUAUAUGUAGUCCUAAUCCUCCAUUUGUGAAACACAGUUAGCUAGGUUUAGGUGAUUUGGGCCCCUCUAUCAUUAUACGACAUAUUUUGUCCCCUUCUAUAUUCAAUUUCUGGCUCCGCCACUGCAUGUGUCCGACUCGUGUGUGGGCAUAGUCUGAAUUGUGUCCGACUAAUGUACAGGCCAUGUAUGGGUUGCGUACGGGAGACUCUUGCCGCGCAUCUCCUCGCACAGUGCCACGUGUCCGGCUGGGUGGGGGCGGCUGGAAAAGUUCUCAUCCCAAAUGAAAAAAUUCCGUCGGGGCAACCCGAGGAGGCCGAAAAAANNNNNNNNNNNNNNNNNNNNNNNNNNNNNNNNNNNNNNNNNNNNNNNNNNNNNNNNNNNNNNNNNNNNNNNNNNNNNNNNNNNNNNNNNNNNNNNNNNNNUUUUAUAUGUUCCUAGAGAAAAUUUAGUUGAAAAUUGAUAGUAGCAACCUUUGCAGACUGAGUCUGUAAAACCGAGGAUUGUCCUCGUUGCUACACAGAAGGCUUAUGUCCUUAAUGCACCACUCGGUGUGCUGCACCUCGAGCGUCGUCUGUGGAUGCUAUGAACAUCCGACAUACACGUUACUGAUGACUACACGAUAGUUCAGUGCAAGAUACUUGAUGGCUUAGAAGCAAGGCGCCGAAAACGUUGUAAAACGUCACAGAACAUAAGUGAUGUUCCGAAGAGAUGAAAUUGUGAUUUCAUGCUUGUGCCCUUGUUAAGAGGUGUGAGACCUCCAAACAAGAUUCUUUGUCCACAAAGUAAAGGAGAAAAGCUCAAUCGUUGAGCGUGUGCUUAGAUUGUCUGAGUACGACAAUCGCUUGAAUCAAGUGGGAGUUAAUCUUCCAGGUGAGAUAGUGAUGGUUCUCCAAAGUCAUUGCCACCAAGCUAUGAGAGCUUCGUGAUGAACUAUAACAUAUCAAGGAUAGAUACUAUGAUCUUUUGAGCGAUUCGCGAUGUUUGACACUGCGAAAGUAGAAAUCAAGAAGGAGCAUCAAUAGUUGAUGGUUUGUAAAACCACUGAGUUUCAAGAAAGGCAAGGGCUAGAAGGGAUACUUCGUGAAACGACAAAGCAGUUGCUGCACUAAUGAAGAGACCCAAGAUUAAACCCAAACCCGAGACUAAGUGCUUCUGUAAUGAGGGGAACAAUCACUGAGGUGGAGCAACUCUAGAUACUUGGUAGAUACGAAGGCUGGCAAAAGUCGAAGGAAGUAUAUUUGAUAUACAUGAUGUUGAUGUGUACUUUACUAGUACUCCUAGUAGCAUGAGGGUAUUGGAUACCGGUUCGGUUGCUAAGUGAUUAGUAACACGAAAUGAAAGCUACNNNNNNNNNNGUCACUGAGGCGGAAACAAUUCUAGAUACUUGGUAGAUAAGAAGGCUGGCAAAAGUCGAAAGAAGUGUAUUUGAUAUACAUAAUGUUGAUGUGUACUUUACUGGUACUCCUAGUAGCAUGAGGGUAUUAGAUACCGGUUCGGUUGCUAAGUGAUUAGUAACACGAAAUGAAAGCUACGCCAUAAACGGAGACUAGCUAAAGGCGAGGUGACGAUACGUGUUGGAAGUGUUUCCAAGGUUGAUAUGAUCAAACGUCGCAUGCUCCCUCUACCAUCGGGAUUGGUGUUAAACCUAAAUAAUUGUUAUUUGGUGCUUGCGUUAAGCAUGAACAUGACUGGAUCGUGUUUAUUGCAAUACGAUUAUUCAUUUAAAGAGAAUAAUGGUUACUCUAUUUUCUUGAAAAAUCACCUUCAAUGGUUUAUUGGAUCUCGAUCGUAGUGUUACACAUGUUCAUGAUAUUGGUGCCAAAAGAUACGAGGUAAUGAUGAUAGUACCACUUACUUGUGGCACUGCCGCUUAAGUUAUGUUGGUAUAAAUUGCAUGAAGAGGCUCCAUGCUGAUGGAUCUUUAUACUCACUUGAUUUUGAAUCACUAGUGACAUGCAAAUCAUACCAGGCCUUGUUUUCAUUGAGAUGAAAUAAGAUAGUAACUUGUUGGAAGUGAUACAUUUUGAUGUAUGCAGUCCAAUGGGUGCUGAGGCACGCAGUGGAUAUCAUUAUGUCCUUACUUCAAUGACGAUUUGAGUAGAUACUAGAGUAUUUGCUUAAUGAAUCACAAGUCUGAAAUAUUGAAAAGUUCAAUUCUGUUUCGGAGUGAAGUUCGUCGUAACAAGAGGAUAAACUGUCUACGAUAUGAUCAUAGAAAUGAAUAUCUGAGUUACGAGUUUUGGUACGCAGUUAAGACAAUGNNNNNNNNNNUCUUACUUCACUGACGAUUUGAGUAGAUACUAGAGUAUUUACUUAAUGAAUCACAGGUCUGAAAUAUUGAAAAGUUCAAUUCUGUUUCAGAGUGAAGUUCGUCGUAACAAGAGGAUAAACUGUCUACGAUAUGAUCAAAGAAAUGAAUAUCUGAGUUACGAGUUUUGGUACGCAGUUAAGACAAUGUGGAAGUUAUUUCGCAGUUCAUGCCACCUGGAACAUCAUAGUGUGAUGAUGUGUCUGAACAUCAUAGCCACGCACUAUUUGGUAUAAUACAUACUAUGGUGUCUCUUAUCGAAUUACCACUAUCGUUUAUGGGUUAUGCAUUAGAGACAACCGCACUCACUUUAAAUAGGGCACCGCGUAUUUCCGUUGAAGAUGACACAGUAUAGACUGAGGUUUAGAGAAAUCUAAACUGUCGUUUCUUGAAAGUUUGGGGUUUCGACACUUAUGUGAAAAAGUUUCAGUCUGAUAAGCUCGAACCCAAAGCGGAUAAAUGCAUCUUCAUAGGAUAUCCAAAACAGUUGGGUACAUCUCCUAUCUCAGAUCCGAAAGCAAAGUGUUUGUUUCUAGAAACAGAUCCUUUCUCGAGGAAAGGUUUCUCUCGAAAGAAUUGAGUGGGAGGGUGGUAGAACUUGAUGAGGUUAUUGAACCAUNNNNNNNNNNNNNNNNNNNNNNNNNNNNNNNNNNNNNNNNNNNNNNNNNNNNNNNNNNNNNNNNNNNNNNNNNNNNNNNNNNNNNNNNNNNNNNNNNNNNAGAUCGGAAGAGNGGACCAUUAGCCCCGGUUCGGGGCCAAACCGGGGCUAGCAUUAGUCCCGCUUUGUUAGUACUUAGUCCCGGUUCGUGAACCGGGGCUAAUGGUCCAAACGAACCAGGGCUAUAGCCCCGUUUUCUACUAGUGUUGUGUUGUGUUCGAGAGAUUAAGAAAGUUCAGGUCCAAACCGUCAUAUGCACGCCAUACAUGAAUACGCUUUUAUCCCUGUACCACUGAUAACCCCGGUUAGCUACUAGUUAAUGCAUAUAGCUACUCCAUAGCAGUUAGCUACUAAUUAAUGCACGUACAUAUAUGACAAGUGAGUUGGCCGAGCAUGGCUUCAGGUUAUGCCCAUAUCUUGGUCUAUUGGGAUAUACAUGUUCCUCAUUAAAGAAAGCAUAAUAAUACUGGUAGUUAUUCCAAACAUUUCGAUUACACAUUCAUUGGCCAAAAAUUAGACAACUACAUAAUGAAAUUCACUUUUACUAUAUUACAAUGAAAUACACUACUCGAGNNNNNNNNNNNNNNNNNNNNNNNNNNNNNNNNNNNNNNNNNNNNNNNNNNNNNNNNNNNNNNNNNNNNNNNNNNNNNNNNNNNNNNNNNNNNNNNNNNNNCUUUAGUCCCGGAUCGAGCCACGAACCGGGACUAAAGAUCCACCUGUAUAAGCGGGAGUUAGAAACUUUCGAACCCAAAUCGUCCAUUUCUCUUCUUCUUCCUCUCGUUCUCCUGCCCGGCGCGGCAAGCGACGAACUCGACGACGCCGUCAGGCUGCCCGCCGUCCUGCUCGCCGCCGCGUGCCGUCCUCCUCGCCGUCGCCGUCGUCCUGCUCGCCGCCGCCGUCCUCCUCGCCGCGCGCCGCCCUCCUCGCUGCGCGCCGCCGUCCUCCUCGCCGCGCACCGUCGACACCUCCGGCCGGUAAGCCCCACGCCCCCUCCUCCCCAACACUCCGGCCAGCACAAGCAAAGAAGAAAAAGGAGAANNNNNNNNNNNNNNNNNNNNNNNNNNNNNNNNNNNNNNNNNNNNNNNNNNNNNNNNNNNNNNNNNNNNNNNNNNNNNNNNNNNNNNNNNNNNNNNNNNNNNNNNNNNNNNNNNNNNNNNNNNNNNNNNNNNNNNNNNNNNNNNNNNNNNNNNNNNNNNNNNNNNNNNNNNNNNNNNNNNNNNNNNNNNNNNNNNNNNNNNNNNNNNNNNNNNNNNNNNNNNNNNNNNNNNNNNNNNNNNNNNNNNNNNNNNNNNNNNNNNNNNNNNNNNNNNNNNNNNNNNNNNNNNNNNNNNNNNNNNNNNNNNNNNNNNNNNNNNNNNNNNNNNNNNNNNNNNNNNNNNNNNNNNNNNNNNNNNNNNNNNNNNNNNNNNNNNNNNNNNNNNNNNNNNNAAGAAAGGAAGAAAAAGGGAAGAAAGGAAGAAAAAGGAAAGAAAGGAAGAAAAAGGAGAAUAAGAAGAGGAGGAGAAGAAAAGAAGAAAAAGGAGAAUAAGAAGAGGGGGAGAGGAGAAGAAGAGGAAAAAUAGAAGAAGAGGAGAGGAGAAGUAGUAGAAGAAGAGGAGAAGUAGAAGAAGAAGAAGAAGUAGAAGAAGAGGAGAAAUAGAAGAAGAGAAAAAAUUAGUUUAGGGUUACAAGAAGAAGAAAUAUUUUUUUUGUCAUUUAAUUUUGCUAUUGUAUAGUGUAUAUGCUUAAGUGUUAAUAGUGUUUCUUAGAUUAUUGCUUAAUUUUGCUAUUGUAUAUGCUGAAGUGUUAAUAGUUUAAUUUUUCUAUUGUAUAUGCUUAAGUGUUAAUAGUUUAUUUUUAGCAAAAAAAUUAAUAGAACUAGUUUAAUUUUGCUAUUCUAUAUGCUUAAGUGUCCGGGACUGGGCUCCGCCCGGCUGGUAUUUUAGAGUUUAGGUUCUAGCCAAGACCCGGGACUAAAGGUCCUCCUAUAUAGAACGAGCCUUCGAAGUUUCCAACCCCUCUUAUAUAGUUUGUUAGUUUAUUAGUUAAUCAAAUGUCCGUUUUUUGCAGAACUAUGGAUCCACAUAUCAGGAACCUCGAAGAGGAAGAACUUCUCGAAGAUAUAAUCAAAGACGGCCCCGACGUUGAACCAGCCAAAUCUCCGACGUCAUAUCUAAACGACUCCGGAUAUGGAAUGGAGGUCGAGCGACACGAAGAUGAAGCCGAUGGGGCAGGAGAUAGGUCCAAUGACGGAGAAGGUGAUAGCUCCACUGAUGGAGAAGCCGGUGAAGAAAUAAUAAAGUCCGGCGAGGUAUACAUAUGAAGUUCGACAAUCACUUGUAAUAUGUGAAAAAUAUUGGAGAUAGCUCUAUAUUGUAUACAUAUACAUUCAUUUGACGAAUGUUUCUCCCUCUUAGGCCUCCACAUCGAGCAAAUCUACGAAACGAGGCCCGACUAGAAAGUUGGAUGCACGGACGCAUUACACCUUUGAGGUGAUAAUGCCUACGGGCAAACCCAAGCUUCCUAAGAAUGCUGCUGACACAUUCAAGAAGCAAUGCGGAGUUCUCGUUAGGGAUCACGUCCCGAUCAGCGUUCGGGGGUGGAACAAGCGCAAAGGGGCAGCCGAUAGUGACUAUGUCGCCGAAAGGUACAAAGAUAAUCUUUGGAAUGAUCUCAUGUCACAUUUCAACCUGCCAGAAUGUGAGAAUGAAGACGCCGCAGACAAACUGAGGGCCAAAGUCAAGCAGUGGACUCUAAAGAAGAUGCCCGAACUGUUCCGUAGCUGGAAGAAGAAGCUAUGGAAAAACUAUCUGAAGACAAAGAAAGUGCCAGUAUUCGAGGGGUAUCUAGCCAAGCAGGCGAAUCACUGGAAGGAAUUUCAAGAGUACAAGGAGUUAGAAGAUGCCCAGGCAUUAUCAUAAAAGAACAAGAUAAAUGCCGACAAGAAGAAAUAUCACCACAAGCUGGGGCCAGGGGGCUAUGAGACUGCCAUCCCAAAGUGGGAAAAGAAAGAGCAAGAUCUGAUAGAUAAAGGCAUCGUACCUGAACCACUUCGUGAUGAGUGGGAAUUGAGAGCAAGAAAUUGGUUCCUUGCGCAUGGUGGGUCGUACGAUGAGACAACAGGGGACCUCAUCUGCAAUGACAAUCUUAGGAUACCCAGGGAGAAUUGGAAAAGGAUAGUGAAAGAAAUUAAGGAGGGAUAAAGAAAGUUCACUGCAGAUAGAGAUAAAGAUUUGCUCACACUGGUCCUCGGCAAUGACGAACAUGGAGGACGAACGCGAGGCUUCGGUCCAUCUUACCCGUGGUGGCUUGGGUUUGCCAGAGACCAAGACACUUACAGAAGCCGAGAGAGAGCAAAGAAGCGGCAGCAGGUUGAGGAGAAUGACAAGUUCAACCAGUUGCUUGCCAGGAUUAACGAGCAACAGAAGCAGAUUGAUGAGCUUAGAGGAGUACCGCGCCAGGAAGAUCCUGCACUUGAUAUUACCGGCGCCCCAUCUAAGCGGAAAAGCAGCGUGGCUGAAUCUGAGGCCCCGCCCGACGAUGAACGAAGAAUGAUAGAGGGCGGUCCCGGCUACCCCGUGGAUGGAAUCAAGGAGUCAACAUCAUGUGAACUCCAUCAGAAAUUCAAGAACAUGUCCAUGAAGGUGGCCGUCGGACAAGCUUUACCUUCUGGCCCUGAUGCACGCUGGCAUGGCCGUGAGAUUCCAGCUGGCUUUGCUAAAGUCGGGGUGGAUGAAAUCAUGACGGGGUUUAGUGAUAUGGAGCUCGACAUAGCUGGACCCGAAGAUGAGAGGACACUCGGAGAAGUACUGGGUGGACUCAUCCUAUGGGACAAGAACUACAUCAAGCUUCCAGGCUCGGCCCGAAGGACAACACCGCCUCCGAGUCGUCGCAGGUCACCUACACCUCCAUUACCUCCAAGCCCUCCACAUGACGUCGGCCAGCACAACACGAGUCCAUCUCGAUCACCGCUGCCGGACUUGGGUCGUCCGUCUCCGUCGCCGCCCGCUCCAGAUACAAAGCCUGAGCCUNNNNNNNNNNNNNNNNNNNNNNNNNNNNNNNNNNNNNNNNNNNNNNNNNNNNNNNNNNNNNNNNNNNNNNNNNNNNNNNNNNNNNNNNNNNNNNNNNNNNNNNNNNNNNNNNNNNNNNNNNNNNNNNNNNNNNNNNNNNNNNNNNNNNNNNNNNNNNNNNNNNNNNNNNNNNNNNNNNNNNNNNNNNNNNNNNNNNNNNNNNNNNNNNNNNNNNNNNNNNNNNNNNNNNNNNNNNNNNNCACGGAUACAAAGCGGGAUCGUGCCACCAAGAACGCUCCGCCGCCGCCCGCUCCGGAUACAAAGCCUGAGCCUGCCACAGAUACAAAGCGGGAGCGUGCCACCAAGAACGCUCUGCUGCCGCCCGCUCCGGAUACAAAGCCUGAGCCUGCCACGGAUACAAAGCGAGAGCGUGCCACCAAGAACGCUCCACCGACGAUUCCUAAGCCACAGAGCACCCCAAAGCGCAAAUGGUCGCCCCUCCCAAAGGUACGUCAUGCUAAUCUUCCUAUCGGACCUUAUGAUCGUACCCCCUUCCAUCACAGUAUGACUUACACCAUAAGCCUGAUGACUAUACACGCACAUUGCAGAAGGAAGUGAAAAAGAGCAGAUCACGUGCAAGCCCUCCACAUGACGUCGGCCAGCACAACACGAGUCCAUCUCGAUCACCGCCGCCGGACUUGGGUCGUCCGUCUCUGCCGCCGCCCGCUCCGGAUACUAAGCGGGAGCGUGCCACCAAGAACGCUCCGCCGACGAUUCCUAAGCCACAGAGCACCCCAAAGCGCAAAAUGUCGCCCCUCCCAAAGGUACGUCAUGCUAAUCUUCCUAUCAGACCUUAUUACUUACACCAUAAGCCUGAUGACUAUACACGCACAUUGCAGAAGGAAGUGAAAAAGAGCAGAUCACGUGCAAGUGCAAGUGGGAGCAAAUCAAGUUCAACUACAAGCAAGAUAAAAUAAGACGUUCCUCAGCUUGGACAACAGGCCAAAUAGUCGAUCCCACCCCUCAAGGUGUUAACCGAGAAUGUUCCCCCUCCGGUGCAGGGGCUAGCUUUAGAAAGUUCAAAGGAGUUGGCGGCUGCAUGUGGUGUCUCGGUUGAAGAAUUGUUGUCUUCCCAAGACGACAAGAUACCCAAGGCUGUGGUAGCCCAUAAGCCACAGUUUGUCAUGGGUGAGCCUUUGGUGAGCAAAGAUUAUCUCCCAACAAAUAUGCGUUACUUGCAUCAAUGGUACUUAAGUGAAUCAAAGAACGGGAGAACGAUGAUCGUGCUGAGUGUCCCACAGGAGUACUACGGCCGCCCCGAACAAAUCCAUAUCGACUUUGAUGAACUCUUCCAGAUGUACAAUGGCGACGCCCUCGAAAAAUCGCUUAUGAGUUGCUAUUGUCUGUAAGUUUUUCAAUUCGUUGUCUACAUAUAACUUGUUUAGUUAUUUCAAUUCAUUGUCUAUAUAUAACUUGUACUCUAUUAUGCAGAAUGAAGAUUCUGGAUUGUAAAAGUAAGUGCAUCCUAAAUAUUGGGUUUAUUGACCCAUACAUAUAGCGACGCUAACUAAUUAUCCCAAGGAGACGGAGGAAAACCUUCUAAGGUUUCUAAUAGAUCAAAAUUUCUGUGACCACAUACUGUAUCCAUACAACUUCAGGUGAGGGUCUUUACUCUGUUGUGUCCAUUCACUUAUAAGUGUAAUUGGUAAGUUACUGACACACACACACACAUAUAUAUACAUGUGCAGCUUCCAUNNNNNNNNNNNNNNNNNNNNNNNNNNNNNNNNNNNNNNNNNNNNNNNNNNNNNNNNNNNNNNNNNNNNNNNNNNNNNNNNNNNNNNNNNNNNNNNNNNNNNNNNNNNNNNNNNNNNNNNNNNNNNNNNNNNNNNNNNNNNNNNNNNNNNNNNNNNNNNNNNNNNNNNNNNNNNNNNNNNNNNNNNNNNNNNNNNNNNNNNNNNNNNNNNNNNNNNNNNNNNNNNNNNNNNNNNNNNNNNNNNNNNNNNNNNNNNNNNNNNNNNNNNNNNNNNNNNNNNNNNNNNNNNNNNNNNNNNNNNNNNNNNNNNNNNNNNNNNNNNNNNNNNNNNNNNNNCAAUUAAUGAAAAACUUACCAAAUCAUUAUCCUUGUCGGGCAGGGUUUGGAAGCGGUUCAAGUGCGUGACUCCCGGUAACUUUCAUGAGAAGCUGACCUCUAGAGCGGCUCAGGUAAGUAGUAGUAUGAUAUACUUCUAUUAAUUUUCAAUACAUUUAUGAUGCUAGAUUAUUAUUUUGAUUAUAUAUAUUCUAUUCUCGUAAAGUGCGACCAGCAGCCACGGGGAACGCAUCUAUGCGGAUACUAUGUUUGCGAGACCAUUCGCACGUUUACCUCUGAUCACAGAUUCGGCAUAAGCAAUGAACAUUCACACCUCUAUUUUUACCCGUCAUUCUUUGUUAUCAUGAUUGAUAUUCAUAUUCAUCUCCUCUUCUUAUAUAGCACACGGCCAUGACGACGAAGGUCCUACCAGAGCAACGCGCGAUUGCUGUUGCAGAGGAGCUUGCGACCUUUCUGAGGACGGAGCUAUAGAUGACAAAGGACGAUUUAGUGUAGCUAGGGGCCAUUACUGAUGUUCGUCCAUGUAAUCGAAUAGACGGGCAUUAGUCCCGAUAAUUCAGAUCUCAACAUAAUUGUAUAUAUAUGCUCGCUUGUAAGAUAAGUUAAUCUUAUAUAUAUAUGCAUAAUUAUUUCUAUUUAAAUUAUAUGAAAACUAAUUCCCGAACACCAAACGAGGCAUCACGUUAAUCUCCCGAACACCUAAACCCUAAAACCCUAAAACCCAAAAAUAAUUUCAUUCAAAAAAACCAAAAAUAAGCAAAAUCUGAAAAUCUUUAGUCGCGGUCCUUGUAACGAACCGGGACUAAAGGGCUUGCCCCUGGGGCGCUACGAGGCGCCCACGUGGAGCACCUUUAGUCCCGGCUUGUAACAGGGCCGGGACGAAAAGGUUAGGCCUUUAGUCCCGCCCCUUUAGUCCCGGUUGGUGAACCGGGACUAAAGCCCCUUACGGGCCGGGGCUAAAGGCCCCGUCCCCACUAGUGGGGCUGACAUCCCCCCGCAGUCGGAGCGGGAGCGUCGGGGACCGUGUCGCAUCGCGGGCGCGUGGACUGUAGAGGAAGCCAAUGAGUUGCUCAAGCGAGGUGAUAGCCCUUUGUGUCGAUGUCGAGGUAGCCGAGAGCAUAGGGUGGUGUAGUCGUGGUCAAGGUAGCCGUGCGAAGAAUGCCUUGGUCGACGUCGAAUCGGGGAAGCCGGUGCCGAGGAAGUUGUCAUAGAGCCGCGGGCGCAAGGAAGCGCCGAGUUAGUCAUGGGCGCAGUAGUGUCGAAGUAGUAAUGCACCAGGAAGAAGACGUAGUUGAGACGCGUCACGCCGAGUUUGCCAAGCCCGGGGACACAUCAUGGAAGAAGGCACGCAUCGGUGCUGCCAGCACCACGGAUGCGUAGACGGACGAAGUCGAUUAUGACGAUGCGUCGCUCCAGGUUUGCCAGGCCUGGGAACACACCGGGGCGACGACACGCGUCGGUGUUCCAGCACUGGGCAUGCGUAGACGGGGACCUGCACACAACCUAUACGCCAUGUCGAGGAUGCAAGCAGAGAAGGACCCGAUGACAGUUGCGGCGCAAAUCGGCGGGGGCUGAUGUAGCCCGCGGUGGUCGGAGAAGACGAAGUGGUCGGGGAAGACGACAGCGACGCUGGCGAUGAGCUGGUGCUGGACGAACAUGAAGGAGGUGGACGGGCGGUGUGGCUCGGGCGAGCGAGUUGCCGCAGCACCAAAGGAGAGCGACCGGCCUAAUGGCGGCGGCUGCGGCUGGUUAGGAGCGCUGCGGCGAUGUUCUCGCCCUCCAAGUCUUGUACCCAAUAUAUACUCGCCCAUGAGGCUCAGUAAUACAUCCAGCAUAAACAACUAUUCCACCAAGUCCUCAUGGUAUCCGCCGCAAGUUCCUUGACGUAGUCGCUCGCCGCUUCCGCACCGCGCGCCGCCCCCGGGGCGGUCGGCCUUCAUGACCGCCGCCGGGUGCUGCGCCGCAAUUACCUAGGUUUCGUUCGCCGGUCGUGUUGACCGGCUGCCCUAGAGAGUCUUUUCCCGAUCUCUUGAUCCAGAGUUUUCUCUCUUCCGCCGGUCACUUUGAUCGGCCUUUUCUUUUCGGUUUUUCAAUCAUAGAUCGGUUUGCGUCGCCCGUCGCCGCCAUCGACCACCGCGCCUCUACUCUGACAUCGGCGCGACCCGGCUUCUUCAUCGACCCGGCGACCUCGCGCAAACCCGGCGGCCCCUUAAAUCCGUCGUUCCCGCGCCGGCAAGCCCGUCGAUCUCCGUCGGUCGUCAUCGCCCUGCUCCGAUCGAGACUCCUGCAUUGCCCCGACCCGUCAGCCUCGCGCCAUGCGGCGGCCCAUCACAGCCAUCAUUCACGCGCGGCCUGCCCGUUGAUCUCCAUCGUCGCCUCGUCAGGUCGCUCCGCCGCCUGCCUCGGGCGGGCUGCCUCCGUCCGUGCCGCCUGCCUCGGGCUGGCUGCGUCGGGCCGGCUAGCUCCGGCCGCAUCGCAUGCCUCGGGUCGGCUGGGUCGGGCAGGCUCCCGACUCCGGCUGCAUCGGCCUCGUCGGCUGCGUCGGUCCGGUCGCGCCGCUUGCCUCAUGCCAGCUGCAGCCUCCGGCCGCCAUCCCGCCUCCAUCGAGCGACGUCCCCGACCUCGUGCGCGAUCGGAUUGAUCACCCGCCUGCGCGCGAUCCGCAUCAUCUACGGAUCGGUCGGUUGCAUGCGCCUCCACAGGUCUUGUGAAGGCUGUCUCGAGUACAACGCGUCGCUCCAUCGUUCGAGCAAUGGGCUGCCGUUGCGUUGCCCCGUCGGGCCGCAGCGCCGCCGCCCAGUGGUUCUCCUAAUGGUUGCGCCGACCCGUGAGCCGCUGCUACACCACCCCUUCGGGCUGUAGUGCGGUGGCACGCGGUCCCCGCUCCUGCCCGAGGCCGUCCCCAUGGCUGCACCGACCAGCGCACUGCCGCUGCGUCGACCCUUCGGCAUGUAGCGUUGCGGCACGCGGUCUACGCCACCUCCCCGAGGUCUUCCCGCCGUCACCCCGACCCAUGCCUUGUCGCUUCGUCUCCCCUUAGGGUCGUAGCGCCGCAGCACACGGUCCACUCCACCAUCCCCUCGCGUCGACUUCCUGUGGUAUGCACUAUUGGGGAACGUUGCAUGGGAAACAAAAAUGUUCCUAUGCACACGAAGAACUAUCAUGGUGAUGUUCAUCUACAAGAGGGAGAUUGGAUCCACAUACCCUUGUAGAUCGCUAAGCGGGAAGCGUUAAGAAACGUGGUUGAUGUGGUGGUACAGCUUCGUGAUUCAAAUCACCGUAGUCCCACGAUCCGUCCCGAUCUAGCACCGAACGGACGGCACCUCCGCGUUCAGCACACGUACAAUUCGAUGACGAUCUCCGCCUUCUUGAUCCAGCAAGAGAUACGUGGAAGUAGAUGAGUUCUCCGGCAGCAUGACGGCGCGCCGGUGUUGGUGAUGAUCUACUCCUCCAGGGCUCUGCCUGAGCUCCGCAGAAAUCCGAUCUAGAGGAAGAACUACGUGGUAUAGGUUUGAGUUGCACGUGGCAAAGUUGUGUCCCAAAAGCCCUAAAACCACCAAUAUAUAUAGGAGGAGGGGAGGGGCUAGCCUCAGGGCUCAAGGGCGCCCCAAGGGCGCCGGCAGAUGGGAGGAGGUGGACUCCCACCCUAAUUCGGUUUGGGGGAAGGAGUCCACUCCUUCCUUCCCACCUCCCUCUUUCCUUUUUUUCUUUCCUUUGGUAUUUGCUCUUGUGGCGCCAUAGCCCUCUUAGGCUGGCCUCACCAGCCCACUAAGGGAUGGUGCACCACCCUAGGAUUACAAGGCUCACUCCUGGGUGGGUGGGCCCCUCCCGGUGAAUACCCGGAACCCAUUCGUCACUCCCGGUACACUGUCGGUAAUGGCCGAAAUCUUUCCGGUGACCAAAUGAAACCAUCCUAUAUAUCGAUCUUCAUUUCCGGACCAUUCCGGAAACCCUCGUGACGUAUGUGAUAUCAUCUGGGACUCCGAACAACCUCCGGGCACCAACACAUAUAACUCAACUAUAUUAAAACAUCAUCGAACCUUAAGUGUGCAGACCCUGCGGGUUCGAGAAUUAUGCAUACAUGACCCGAGACACUCCUCGGUCAAUAUCCAAUGGCGGGACCUGGAUGUCCAUAUUGGAUCCUACAUAUUCUACGAAGAUCUUAUCGGUUGAACCUUUGUGCCAAGGAUUCAUAUAAUCCCGUAUAUCAUUCCCUUUGUCCUUCGGCACGUUACUUGCCCAGGAUUUGAUCGUCGGUAUCCCUAUACCUAUUUCAAUCUCGUUACCGGAAAGUAUCUUUACUCGUUUCGUAAAACAAGAUCCCGUGACUUGCACUUUGAGUCACAUUGCUUGCAAGGCUUGUAUGUGAUGUUGUAUUACCGAGUGGGCCCCGAGAUAACUCUCCGUCAUGCGGAGUGACAAAUCCCAUUCUUGAUCCAUGCUAACUCAACAGACACCUUCGGAGAUACCUGUAGAGCACUUUUAUAGUCACCCAGUAAUGUUGUGACGUUUGAUACACACAAGGUAUUCCUCCGGUGUCAGUGAGUUACAUGAUCUCAUGGUCAUAGGAAUGAACACAUGACACGCAGAAAACAAUAACAACAAAAUGACACGAUCACAUGCUACGUUUAUAGUUUGGGUCUAGUCCAACACAUGAUUCUCCUAAUGAUGUGAUCCAGUUAUCAAGUGACAACAUUUGCAUAUGAUCAGAAAACCUUAACCAUUCUUGAUCAACUUGCUUGCCAACUAGAGGCUUGCUAGGGACAUUGUUUUGUCUAUAUAUCCAUACAUGUAUCUAUGCUUUCAUUCAAUAAAUUAUAGCAUGGAUAAUAAAUGAUUAUCUUGAAACAGGAAAUAUAAUAAUAACUAUUUUAUCAUUGCCUCUAGGGCAUAUUUCCAACAGUCUCCCACUUGCACACACUACAACAAAUAUGCUCAUACAUGACGUUUUUUAAGACGUCGUUGAUGAAUUCGUCAUAAAUCUAUGACGAUUUCAUCUGACAUUGUCGUAAACCGUUUGAGGGAAUCAAAUCUACAUAUAAAUUACGACGAUGUGAGUCAAAAACGUCGUAACCGCAUAAGAUGAGAUCGUCAUAACUUUUACGACAAUUAUAAAAAUGUCGUAACAUGUUCUAACUAUGUUGACAUGUCAUUCAUGAGUCCAUUCUAUGUCACGCACCAAACCCGCCUAGUUUGUGAAGCAACCUACUAUUAUGUCAUUCCAAAAAAAUCUCGAAAAAUUCUCAUAAAUACUUUGGACCAUAUAUUACUCAAAUAUGUGAAAACCCUUCCUUCCAUAGUUCAAAAAUAAUCCAGCAAUAUCCGAGAGGUGGACAAAGAACUUUUAAGAGGGAACCAUUUGGUCAAUUUGUACAUAAAAUAGGUCGAUUAUUUUUGAAAAUUGUUGCGGUUCACUUUUGUAACUAAUAUUUGAUAUAUUAUUCACAUAGGUAAAAACAAAAAAGAGAAACAAAAAAAGAUAAACACAUUUACAUAAGCUUUAUUCUCAUUGGUGGAGAUGUUUGUGCCAUGGAUUGAUGACAUGCCACACAUCCAUCCAUCCAUCCACGACCGAACCCUAACUCCCAUUUGCCCUCACCUUGGCGUUUUUCCUUCUACACCCUCGCAUCCCUUUCUUUCUUUCCUUCAAUGGUGGUGGAUGCUUGCGGAACUGCCCUCGUGAAGCCAACAUGAUGGUGGUGGCGGCGGCGGUCGGCAUCGCCUUCGCGGUGCUGCAGUGGGUGCUCGUCUCCAAGGUCAAGGUCACCCCCGAGCCGUGCACCGAGGGAGGCGAGGCCUCUGCCGCCGGCGUCAAGUACGGUGCCAGCGAGUACCUCAUCGAGGAGGAGGAGGGCCUCAACGACAACAACGUCGUCCUAAAGUGCGCCGAGAUCAAGACCGCCAUCUCCGAAGGUGAGACGUGCACCCCCACACAUGGUUAUUUCUCAGAGGUCAUAGCUACUGGUCUGCGCUCUGCUCGCCGGCAGGCGUGGAUCGAUCCUAUGGUGGGGGUGCGUAGAUCUGGAACCCAUCAAGACGUACCGACUAAAAUGCUCGCAAAGUUAAUCCUACAAUGCACUGCCUUUUUUAGUAUUAGAAUCUGAAAUACUUGUUGCAUCUGUACGUAUGCAGAGGCGUGGUGAGAGGCGACACGAAGAAGCAUGAGGAGCUAGAGCUGCUGAUAAAGGACUACCCGUAUGCGGUGGACGAGAUGGAGAUCUGGACGGCGAUCAAGAAAUGGGUCACCGACUACUGCGUGAUAUACUACGCCGACGGGGACCGCGCCGUCGCGGCCGACAGCGAGCUGCAGCCGUGGUGGAGCGAGGUGCGAAAUGUGGGCCACGACGACCUGAGUAACGCGCCGUGGUGGCCGGCUAUGGACUGCGUCGACGACCUCGUCGAGACCUGCACCACCGCUACUAGUAGUUAGUUUCUCCUUCCUCGUUCGGAUUCUCCCUCCCCACCUCACCUCACCAUCUCCUCCUUUUAUUCCCUUUUGCUGCAGGUAACCAUGGCGCGGUUGGGACGGCGGUGACGGUAGGAGGGCGCCGGCCUUGUCCUGCUCGAGGAGUAGGGGUGCGCCCAGCCGGCAACACUGUCUUGCUCGAGAGGAGGGCAGAAGGGGUCUGCUCCUCUGCUUCCAUGGCGACCAAGAGGUCCUAGCCGAGCCGCCGCCGCCUUGGCCGCGCUGCCGGUGAUGAAGUUGGGGACGCUGCUGCUGCGCACGCUGUCCAAGCCUAUCGCCAACCGCCUCAAGAGCUAGGCAGCCGUCCACCCCAAGUUUCGCGACUUCAUCAUCAGCAUCGCCCAGGUUCGAUUCUCUUUGCUCUCUCGCAUCUCCUUUCCCAGGCAAGGAGGCCGCAGAACGAAGCUGUUGGGAGGCAAAUGAUCUACUCCUAGUUGGCCCAUGUACAAUAUUACAAAGGAGAAGUUGUUAUUUUUAUAUGACCUGCAUAACCAUCCGUGUACCGCAAAUGCCACAUGUUCUAGAUUGGCCAUGUACUAGUAUUUCCAACCGUAUCUGGAACUGUUGGGAAGCACAGUUCAGAAUCUGUCUUGAAAAUUUCAGAUAGUGUCAACGGUUCAAUGUCAUGUGCAUGUGCCGAUAUUUGUCAAAAGAAUGUUCUAUUUGUUUUGCUUGCCUUAACAAUUCAUUUCAUAGUAAGUUAACAACAGUUAGCAAAAGUGUGUUUCCUCUUUGCAUAAUGAUAGAUAUGCUUGUUUUCUGCAACAGAUCUCGUUUCUUAUUUUAAGCAAUCAUUCGCAUCGUAAUCUGGCUAUUUAACUAUUAAUAUUUAUGGUAACCUUACAUCGCACCACCUGCAGGAUUGUCCUGCCUUAUGCCAUGCUCAAAUUUAUCGCUUAUUUGUCACAUUUGAGCUUACAACUUAGGAGAGGCACAUAUGGUGUCUGGCUGUCCGUUGCUAGACAUAAUUGUUGGGUUUCCUUGGUGCUGCAGAAAUACAUGCUCAAGGAGAAGUUUCUAUUUUUAUAGCACCUGUCUAACCCAUCCAUGUACGACAACUAUCCUUUGCUAUGGAUUGACCAUGUAGUAUUUCUGCCUGUAUCUGACAAAUAUGUAAAUAUUGGGUGUUGUAUUUAGUACAGUUCAGAUUUCAGAACGUGUUCAAAAUGGAUAUUUCCCAUCGCUCAGUGUUAUGUGCAUGUACUAGUAUUUGUCAAGAACAUGAUCUAUUUAUUUUGCUUGUCUUAAUAAAAAAUCUACAUAAUAACAGAUGGCAAAAGUGUGCCUCCUUUUGCCAUAAUGAGAGUUAUGCUUGUUUUCUGCACCAUGUCUCUUUCUUAUUAUUUUUCAACUUCCUUAGACUCUAAGAAAGCAAUUAUUUGCACCGUAAUCUAGCUAUUUAACUAUAUAUCUUUGAACAUUUUCAGGUGCUGCGGUUUCUGUAACUUGGUUACACUUUACUGAGCUAGUAAUUUCUCUUUCGGUGAGGAUAAGAUAGUAUUUCUGUAUCUACGAAAUUACCCCUUCCGUAAACUAAAUAUAAGAGCAUUUAGGAAACUACUUUAGUAAACUAAAUGCUCCUAUAUUAGUUUACAUAGGGAGUACUAUACUAAACUUGGUUGGAUACUUUAGAGCAAGGAUAAAUGGUGCAGUAGUUUGCACAAUGUUUCUGGCAGUGUGUGAAGCAUUUUCUGAUUUACAUAUAGGAAAGCUAAGCAAGUCAACCUCGCUUUUCCUUACAGAGCAGAAAGCCUGCAAUAUUUCAUUGUCAGAUAUUUACAUAUCUUCCAGAUACGGUUGGAAAUACUAGUACAUGGCCAAUCUAGAACAUGUUACUCUUGAUUGGAAUUUCAUUGUCAGCAUACUAGUUUUUCUCAUUUAAUUUUCAGUAAAGAGGAGAUCUGUGCACCUCAGGUAGAAGAAUUCUGCUACAUCACUGACAAUAUAUACUUCAAGGAUGAGGCUAGUGUGAUAUUACAUCAGAUUGUUCAGUGUUUGUCAUUUUGUCUCCGUCAUUCUCUGAUUCAUAGAUAAACAGGUUUUGGACAUGGAAGCUGAUGUAUAUGUGUUUAGUAAUAUAUGUAGUCCUAUAUAUACACCAAAUGUUGAUGUAUAUGUGUUCUUGGCUGUAUAUAUGUUGAUGUAUGCAUAUUGUUUGCUAUAGUAGUAAUAUAUGUAAGUUGGUUGUUUACAACUCUUGGGUGUAGUUAUAACAUAUAUUAGCUGCUUGGAUGUGAGGUCAUGCUGUUAUUUAAAUACCUGGAGUGUUAGUUUACACUUUUUUGUAAAUGUUGUUAUUUAAACACCUGCAGUGUUAGUUCAUAUAUUAUUCUUAUUUUUUGCACAGGUGAAGUACAAACCCAAGUGUGAAGCUAUGAAGCGUAUCAACAAAGAGUAGCAUAUGUAUUGUAAUAGUAGGCAGUAGUAGGUAUAUCUGGGUUGUGGUGUCGUGUAAAGAUUGUAAUAGUCAAAUUUAAUGUUGGUUUGGACGAAUUUUAUUUGCUCCCUAGCCUGUUUGAAAUAUUGAUUCUGAAUGUGAUUUGAAUACCUAUAAAAUGGAAACUUGACAAGGGGACCAAGUUAUGAUAUUUAUUUGACAAAAUGUGAAAUUUUUAACGUGUGGGAUUAAUUUUGAGAUCAGCAUGACAUGUGGGACCAGUACAAAAUAAAAAUGGCGAAAAAAGAAAAUCAAUAGAAAGUAAAAGGCCACAAACCAAAAUUCAAAAAAAAUACUAGAAGUGGCUGUAAAUAUGCUAAGGCCCCAAAAGAAGCCCAAUAAGAAAAGUCCAAAAAAAUAAAACCAGCCCAUGUGAUCAAAUGAAAAGGGUUGGGCUGAUUUCAGCCAUGACGUUUUGAUUUUGUCGUAAUUUUGCCACGUAGGAUUGGGUUAGAUUGCCAACGACGAUUUAGGAUCUUCGUAAAGGUUACGAUGAUUCAGGAAUCGUCGUAAAGGUUACGACGAUUUUGAUCAAAACGUCGUUGAUGUUCAUUUGUGACGCUCCGUUUUCGACGCUUGGUUUUUCAUCGUGAGAUCAUCGUAAACUAAAAGCCGUGACGAUGUAGCGAUGAAAAUAUAGCGUCGUAUAUUAGCAUAUUCCUUGUAGUGACAAGAGUCAAUAAUCUAGUCUCACAUUGCUAUGCGAUUUACAUUGGAAUGAAUCUAACACCCAUACUGUUCUGGUGUUGAUCAUGCUUCGCUCGUGGAAGAGGUUUAGUCAGCGGAUCUGCUGCAUUCAGAUCCGUGUGCACUUUGCAAAUAUUUACGUCCUCUCCUUCAACGUAGUCUCGGAUGAGGUUGAAGCGUCGUUUGAUGUGUCUGGUCUUCUUGUGAAACCUUGGUUCCUUUGCUAAAGCAAUGGCACCAGUGUUAUCACAGAACAGAGUUAUUGGAUUUAGUGCGCUCGGCACAACUCCAAGAUCCGUCAUGAACUGCUUCAUCCAGACACCGUCCUUAGCUGCCUCCGAGGCAGCCAUGUACUCCGCCUCACAUGUAGAAUCUGCUAUGACGCUUUGCUUGAAACUGCACCAGCUUACCGCACCCCCAUUAAGAAUAAAUACGUAUCCGGUUUGAGACUUAGAGUCAUCCGGAUUAGUUUCAAAGCUUGCAUUGACGUAACCCUUUACGAUCUUCGUCACCUCCAUAAACGAGAAACAUUUCCUUAGUCCUUUUCAGGUACUUCAGAAUAUUCUUGACCUUCGUCCAGUGAUCCACUCCUGGAUUACUUUGAUACUUGCCUGCCAUACUUAUGGCCAGGCUGACGUUCGGUCUAGUGCACAGCAUUGCAUACAUGAUAGACCCUAUGGCUGAAGCAUAGGGGACCGUACUCAUCUUUUCUCUAUCUUCCACAGUUACUGGGCACUGAGUCUUACUCAACUUUAUACCUUGUAAUAUUGGCAAGAACCCCUUCUUGGACUGCUCCAUUUUGAACUUCUUCAAAACUUCAUCAAUGUUUGUGCUUUGUGAAAGUCCUAUUAGGUGUCUCGAUCUAUCCCUAUAGAUCUUAAUACCUAAUACGUAAGCAGCUUCCCCUAGGUCUUCCAUUGAAAAACAUUUGUUCAAAUAAUCUUUUACGCUCUCUAAGAACUCCACAUUGUUUCCAAUCAGCAAUAUGUCAUCCACAUAUAAUAUUAGAAACGCCACAGAGCUCCCACUCACUUUCUUUUAAAUACAAGAUUCUCCAACAACUUGUAUAAACCCAAAUGCUUUGAUCACCUCAUCAAAGCGUUCAUUCCAACUCCGAGAUGCUUGCACCAGUCCAUAAAUAGAUAGCUCGAGAUUGCAUACUUUGCUAGCAUUCUUUGGAUCGACAAAACCUUCGGGUUGCAUCAUAUACAACUCUUCCUUAAUAAAACCGUAAGGAACGCCAUUUUGACAUCCAUCUGCCAGAUUUCAUAAUCGAAAAAUGCAGCUAUUUCUAACAUGAUUCGGACGGACUUAAGCAUCGCUACCGGUGAGAACGUCUCAUCGUAGUCAACUCCUUGAACUUGUGAAAAACCCUUUGCCACAAGUCGAGCUUUAUAAACGGUUACAUUUCCGUCCGCGUCCGUCUUCUUCCUAAAGAUUCAUUUGUUCUGAAUAGCCUUGCGACCUUCAGGUAAUACUUCCAAAGUCCACACUUUGUUUUCAUACAUAGAUCCUAUCUCAGAUUUCAUGGCCUCUAACCAUUUGUUGGAAUCUGGGCCCACCAUUGCUUCUCCAUAAUUCGCAGGCUCAUUGUUGUCUAACAACAUGAUAGAUAAGACAGGAUUCCCGUACCACUCAGGAGCAGUACGUGAUCUUGUCGACCUGGAAGGUCCGAUAGCAACUUGAUCUGAAGCUUCAUGAUCAUCAUCAUUAGCUUCCUCCUCUACUGGUGUUGCCUCAACAGAGAUUUCCCUCUGCCCUGCGCCAUCAUCCUGUUGAAGCAGAGGUUCCACAACCUCAUCAAGUUCUACUUUCCUCCCACUCAAUUCUUUCGAAAGAAACUCUUUCUCAAGAAAAUCUCUGUUCUUAGCAACAAACAUUCUGCCCUCGGAUCUGAGAUAGAAGGUGUACCCAACUGUCUCUUUUGGGUAACCUAAGAAGACGCACUUUUCCGCUUUGGGUUCAAGCUUUUCAAGCUGAAGCUUUUUGACAUAAGCAUCACAUCCCCAAACUUUAAGAAAUGACAACUUUGGCCUCUUGCCAUACCAUAGCUCAUAUGGUGUCAUCUCAACGGAUUUUGACGGUGCCCUAUUUAAAGUGAAUCCAGUUGUCUCUAAUUCAUAACCCCAAAACGAUAACGGCAAAUCGGUAAGAGACAUCAUAGAUCGCACCAUAUCUAACAAAGUACGAUUACGACGUUCGGACACAUCAUUACGCUGUGGUGUUCCACGCGGUGUUAACUGUGAAACAAUUCCACAUUGUCCUAAGUGAGCACAAAACUUGAAACUCAGAUAUUCGCCCCCUCGAUCAGAACGCAGGAACUUGAUCUUCUUGUUACGAUGAUUUUCAUCUUCACUCUAAAUUGCUUGAACUUCUCAAACGUUUCAGACUUGUGCUUCAUCAAGUAGAUAUACCCGUACCUACUCAAAUCGUUAGUGAAGGUGAGAAAAUAACGAUAUUCGCCGCGCGCCUCCACACUCAUCGGACCGCACACAUCGGUAUAUAUGAUCUCCAACAAGUCACUUGCACGCUCCAUUUUUUCGGAGAACGGAGUCUUAGUCAUCUUUCCCAUGAGGCAUGGUUCACACGUGUCAAGUGAUCCAAAAUCAAGUGACUCCAAAAGCCCAUAAGAAUGGAGUUUCUUCAUGCGCUUUACUCCAAUAUGACCUAAGCAGAAGUGCCACAAAAACGUGGCGCUAUCAUGGUUAACUCUACAUCUUUUGGUCUCAAUGUUAUGUAUAUGUGUAUCAUCACAAUCAAGAUUCAAUAUGAACAAACCUCUCACAAUGGGUGCAUGACCAUAAAAGAUAUUACUCAUAGAAAUAGAACAACCAUUAUUCUCUGACUUAAACAAGUAACCGUCUCGCAAUAAACAAGAUCCGGAUAUAAUGUUCAUGCUUAACGCAUGCACUAAAUAAGAAUUAUUUAAGUUCAUAACUAAUCCUGAUGGUAAUUGAAGUGAGAUUGUGCCGACGGCGAUUGCAUCAACCCUGGAACCAUUUCCCACACGCAUCAUCACUUCAUCCUUCGCCAGCUCUCGUUUAUUCCGCAGUUCCUGCUUCGAGUUGCAAAUAUGAGCAACAGAACCGGUAUCAAAUACACACGCACUACUACGAGAGUUAGUUAAGUACACAUCAAUAACAUGUAUAUCACAUAUACCUGAUUUUUCUUUGGCCGCCUUCUUAUCAGCCAAAUACUCGGGGCAGUUGCGCUUCCAGUGACCCAUCCCCUUGCAAUAAUUAACACUUUGUUGCCGGCUUAGAUCCAGCCAUGGGUUUCUUCGUCGGAUUGGCAACAGUUUUGCCGCUCUUCUUGGAGUUACCCUUCUUGCCUUUGUCGUUUCUUUUGAAACCAAUGGUCUUAUUGACCAUCAACACUUGAUGCUCUUUUUGGAGUUCUGACUCUACGACUUUCAGCAUCGCGAAUAACUCGCCGGGUGACUUGUUCAUCCCUUGCAUGUUAUAGUUCAACACAAAGCUCUUAUAGCUAGGUGGCAGUGAUUGAAGAAUUCUGUCAGUGAUAGCUUCUUGCGGGAGUUCAAUCCCCAGCUUAGCUAGACGGUUUGAGUACCCAGACAUUUUGAGCACAUGUUCAGUGAGAGACGAAUUCUCCACCAUCUUGCAAGCAUAGAAUUUACCGGAGGUCUCAUACCUCUCGAUCCGGGCGUUCUUCUGAAAGAUAAACUUCAACUCCUGGAACAUCUCAUAUGCUCCAUGACGCUCAAAUCGUUGUUGAAUCCCGGUUCUAAGCCAUACAAGACUGCACAUUGAACUACUGAGUAGUCCUCCUUACGCGAUUGCCAAGCAUUCAAAACAUCUUGGUCAAACGUAGCGGGUGGUUCAUCUCCUAGCGCAGCAUCAAGGACAUAAUUCUUUUUCCCAGCUUGUAGGAUGAGCCUAAGAUUACGUGCCCAGUCUACAAAGUUGCUUCCAUCAUCUUUCAACUUAGCUUUCUGUAGGAAUGUAUUGAAAUUUAGGAUGCUACUGCGUGAGCCAUUGAUCUACAACAUAAAAUAUUGCAAAGUGGACUUAGACUAUGUUCAAGACAAUUAGAGUUUAACUAAUCAAAUUACUAAUAAAUUCCCACUCAAAAAAUACAUCCCUCUAGUCAUUUGAGUGGUGCAUGAUCCAAAUCCACUAACUCAAGUCCGAUCAUCGCGUGAGUUGAGUAUAGUUUCAGUGGUAAACAUCUCUAUGCUAAUCAUAUCAACUAUACGAUUCAUGCUCGACUUUCGGUCUCUUGUGUUCCGCGGCCAUGUCUGCACAUGCUAGGCUCGUCAAGUUUAACCCGAGUGUUCCGCGUGUGCAACUGUUUUGCACCCGUUGUAUGUGAACAUUGAGUCUAUCACACCUGAUCAUCACGUGGUGUCUCGAAAUGAUGAACUGUCACAACGAUGCACAGUCGGGGAGAACAUAAUUUCAUCUUGAAAUUUUAGUGAGGGUUCACCUUAUAAUGCUACCGUCGUUCUAAGCAAGAUAAGGUGCAUAAAAGGAUUAACAUCAGAUGCAAUUCAUGAGUGAUAUGAUAUGGCCAUGAUCUUCUGCUUCUUGAUCUCCAUCACCAAAGCACCGGAAUGAUCUUCUUUUCAUCGGCGCCAGACCAUGAUCUCCAUCAUCGUGCCGCCAUAGAGGUUGUCAUGCUAUCUAUGCUAUUACUACUAAAGCUAGAACCUAGCAAUAUAGUAAACGCAUCUGCAAACACAAACGUUAGUUUAAAGACAUCCCUAUGGCUCCUAUCGGUUGUCGUAGCAUCGAAGUGCAAGUCGAUAUUAACUAUUACAACAUGAUCGUCUCAUACAUCCAAUAUAUCACAUCAUGUCUUUGGCCAUAUCACAUCACAAGCAUACCCUGCAAAAACAAGUUAGACAUCCUCUAAUUUGUUGUUGCAUGUUUUACGUGGCUGCUAUGGGUAUCUAGUAUAAUCGCAUCUUACUAACGCAAAAACCACAACGGUGAUGUGCAAAUUGCUAUUUAACCUCUCUCCAAGGACCGCCUCGGUCAAAUCCAAUUCAACAAAGUUGAAGAAACCGACACCCGCCAGUCAUCUUUAUGCAACGAGUUGCAUGUUAGUCGUUGAAACCAGUCUCUCAUAAGCGUACGAGUAAUGUCGAUCCGGGCCGCUUCAAUCCAACAAUACUGCCGAAUCGAGAAAAGACUAAGGAGUGAAGCAAAUCGCACAUCAACGCCCAUAAAACCUUUUGUGUUCUACUCGAGAUAACAUCUACGCAUGAACCUAGCUCAUGAUGCCACUGUUGGGGAACGUUGUAUGGGAAACAAAAAUUUCCUACACAAACGACACUACUAGGAAAAGGCCUGCUAGUGGCGCACCUAUUUUGGCUACUAAUGGCGCACUAUAGGUGUGCCACUAGCAUCACGCCAUUAGAUUUUUUUACUAAUGGCCGCCAUUAGUAUCUGGUAUACUAAUGGCUCACCAGGCAGUGCGCCAUUAGUAUAGCUCAUGGUACGCCAUUAGUAUGCCUCCCAGGUGCGCCAUUAGUAUGCCUCCCAGUUGCGCCAUUAGUAUAGAUCAUGGUGUGCCAUUAGUAUAGCUCAUGGUGCACCACAGGUUGUACUACCAGCUCUAAAAAUAUUCAAUUAUUAUCCUCACACGCACAAGAAGGUUCAAGAUAAACACAUAUUACACCACAAUCAAAAUAUGUUUAUAAACAUGCACAUACAUUGAACGCAAGUUGACAAACAAAUUAACCUAGAGGAAGCAUAGUUUUGACCAUCUUAUCAAUCAUCUAGAACACACAAGUCACAAAAAGAUAAGGACUAUUGGUUACUAUGAGAGACUUCAGAUGGUCCAGAACACACAAGUUUGUAUCUACAUGCACAAAGUGCAAGAUCCAAAACACUCGAAACACCAAAUGGUCUACAAGACAAUAAGGUCCAUGAUUACAGGUUGGUUGGUCCAUAAACACUAGAGAGUCAUCAUGUCCAUGUACAUCAAUAGGUUGAGUACCUGAAAACAUUUUGCACAAAUUUGUCAAGAAAGUGGAACCAGAUCAACUUAAUGGAAGAAUAUUCCAGUGUGAUUUUUGGGAUCAACUUUCAGAGUGUUUUUUAUCAACUUUCGAGGUGCUUUUCCUGAAGGAAUAAGUGGACCCUUUGGAUAGUAUAUUAGAACAAUCAAGUAAUACGAUUUGAUGGUAAAAGAAAGAUAUAACAGCAACCCAUCCAUUUGGAAAAGACCAGAGUAGAUCAACCUACAUCAUAUUUGUACCAUACAGUAGUACACGUAAGCUUUUUGCACGUAAACUAACAGGCAAGCGAAUGAGAAGGUGACUGAAGGGAAAAAUUAUACCUAGACGAGGACCUCCCAUGAAUACUCGACACAUCCGUCUCUGAACCUCCCAUAAAACCUGAAGGGCCAGUUCCCAUCAGGAAGGUGCAUUUCCCAUGGCGUUGAAGUCAUUGGGCUUGACGCCGGCGCGGAUGCACUUCUGGGUAUUACAUCAUAGUGGAGGCGAUAAGUGGGGUCCUGGGCAGCACCACAUGAUGGCCAAGGAAUACUGGCUUUAACUGAUUCAUCCAGGCAUUACAGAUCGUGUGACUUGUAACUAUAGAGGAACCCGCGUCUAUCAACUUAUCUGUCACCGCCACCCACUCUGGCGCUACUGCCGGUGGCCAAACCCACCACCACGGUCUCCAGUCACCAGAAUAGAAUGGACAUCAGCUAAAAACCAAAGUAUGGAAAAUAUCAAAUGAGCUGCAUAUUUGUAAGGUGACUCAAAGUUUCUUAAGUAUAGCUACAUAUUUUUGCCAUGCAGCUUGUUCCACAGAAACAAUAUUAACGCCUCUAAAUAGCUGAAAAUAAGUAUACUAAACUCAUGAUCAAUACACAUCUCUUUUCUUAUUAUUAGGCAUCAUGUGUCGUGCAAACGAUUAAUACAUAAAAAAAAGAUGAACCAAAAAUAUGAGUACAUACAUGUUGUCCUCCAACAAAUAAAAAAUAGGAAAAAAAAAGAUGCAUAUUCCAAAAGGCCACAUGCUUCAGAUUUUAGCAAAUGUAACUACAACUAUCAGUUCUGUGGGGGGGAGAUUUAAAAGGUAACAUAGUAACGUGCUGUAUCUCCCCUUGUAGCUUGCCGAAUCCUUAUUUAAUCAAUGCCGCUCACAAAUGCAUAAGAACCAUUCCAAUGUGCUGAUGGGCACAAUCUCAAUGCCACUCACAAAUGCAUAAGAACCAUUCCGAUGUGCUGAUGGGGCAAAGGUGAGGUCCAAGCUGCCUGAAGAAACGUUCACUGAGAAUUCACGCACAAGGUAGGCAAAACUGAUAUCCUGUGCUGUUUGUGAAACAUUAGAAUCAUUUAAGAGGACAAGAUUUCCUGUCGUGACACCGAAGAAGGCAUUGGAGAUAGCAUAGUCUCCAUCGUCAUCAUAGUACUCACCCGGACAGAAGUAGAGGCGAAAGAACAUGCGGCCUGGGCUGACAAGGAAGGAAUAGGUGUAAUUUGAAGUGAAGAUGCGUGCAGUCCUCCAAGGGAUUAUGUAGUGCAGGUCAUUGAAAUGAGCAGUGGCUGCAACUCCUUUUACUGAUGGCGCGAACUUGGAGUCAGCAUCCUCAUACAUAAACUGUGCAUAAGAUGGAGUACCCUGCAAAGAAUAUAGACAGGCAAAAUGUACUUAGACUAGCAUACAUAGGGAAAAAGAUGGUAAAAUAGUGCUACCAAUCAAUUUUGAUGAAGAAAAACAUUUGGGAAAACGGAACUGAGCAAACCUCUAAGCGCAUACAUAGGAGAACUUGAGAAAUUACGAUAGGAAUUAUCAGUACAGGGCCACCAAUAUCCUGCACAUCACAUAGUUUGUCUACAUCAGGAUCCCUUCGGAGAAUAAUGAAAUAUUGAUGAUUCAGUUAUUGCUAUACCAAGGAUUCACUGUAUACCGACAAUUGGAUUGGACCACCUUAAGCAGACAAGAAAAGCAAAGCACUGGAAAAUCCUGUAAAAUUUGUCAUCAGGUAAUUAAUGAGGCCGGCUCGUUGCUGGGCCUGUCCCAUGGGGCAGGACGCUGGCGAAUCCCCAAAGAUGUAAGAUACUCACUGUAUCCCACUGCAUGACAAGCAUGUAAAGGUCCAAAAAUUGGUAAAAAGAUAUAUUUGUAGUUUCGAAAAUAAUCUGGAAUGUACACGUUAGGACACACGUCAUUCCACACAAUUCUGUGUGAAAAAUCUUUUCAAAUCUGUCCGACAUGAGAAAACAUAAAUACAGUGAUCUAAAACAGCAAACCAUAGCAACAGUACCUGCUAUCGCAGAUAAUCACAUUUUUUGUGUUUUUGUGCAAGACCGCAAAUGAUUUUCAAUGAAAAAUUGCAGAUUCAUAGUCUAUUAGAAAAUUUACAUAUUAGAAUGUUUCUUGAAUUUUCUGGAACUCGUAACUCUUUGAUUUAUUUCCUUUUUGAAGAAAAUGCUAACUAAAGCUUGAGCCAAAAGCAAUAUCCAGUCAGAUGGCAUAUCUCAGGAGGAGAGUCACAAAGCACGCAUGAAGUAGAAGUUCUUAGAGUUGGAAGUACCUGAACAUUUAUAUCACAUACUGAAUUAAGAAUAAAAAGGACAAAAAAGGAAAAGGGAAGGUGAUGUACAUGAAUGGACUCACCUGUUCGAAACCUCCUUUGGAUAACUCCCACUACCUGGUCAUGCGGGAUCCUUCUAGGUAGCUUAGGCGCCACUCCUCCCAGGUCGUGCGCAUGCACCGGCAUGCAUGGCUUGCAGCCGUUGUAACCAACACCACAGCGUGUAUAUAUGUGUACUCUCUGAUGCAAUACAAUCAUCAAUCUCAGCACAUUAUUCUCUAGUUUGGUAUCAGCCCUCUUCUCGAUCCUAUCCCACCAUGCACCGUCUCCUCCGCCGCACCCGCUCGGCCGAGCUUGACGGUGCCUCUCCACCACCCGCCGCUCCCGUUCCUCUCGCUGCUGCACCCGCCGUGCUCGCCCCACGGCCUCCAGCCCCGGCCGUCGCCCCCGCGCCCUGUCGUGCCUCCCCCGCCGCCCUCGGCAAAACUGCCGUACGGGACGACGGCGCGGCCUCCUCCUCCGCGACGCCUACUCCUCCUGCCAUGGGUGCCCUCCGCACAGCGGGCAGCGUCGCCAUCCCACGCCCUCCUCUCGGCGUUCCGGAUCGCGCCCUCGUCCCCGCUCUCGGCCUCGACUGCGACGCCGGGCCUUCCUCCGUGGCCAACGGCCUGCCCGCCUCCAUCGCGCACUUCUUCUCCGCCAAACUUCACCUCGAGUCCGGCAACUACACCCGCUGGCGCCAGCUCUUCUACCUCGUCGCCUGCAAACACGAGGUCCAGCACCACCUUGACGACGCCACUGAGCCCCUCGCCCAGAGUGCCCUCUGGCACACCGAUGACCUCACCGUCGUCCUCUGGCUGCAUGGAGUCGUCGACGACGAGCUCCUGGCUGCCGUCGCCACCCCCGCCAGCUCUGCGCACCACAUCUGGAUGCAGCUCCACCUCCUCUUCACGGACAACCAGCCUGGCCGCGCCGUCAUCCUCGGCGCCGAAUUCCGCACCCUCGUCCAGGGCGACCUCUCCAUCGCCGAGUACAGCCGCCGCCUCAAGUCCCUCGCCGACGCCCUCGCGGAUGUCGGCGAGCCUGUCUCCGACCAAUCCCUUACCCUGCAGCUGCUGCGCGGCCUUAGCCGCAAGUUCCACGUCAUGGCCACCCUCCUCCCGAUGCAGUCGCCCUUCCCCUCCUUCAUCCAGGCUCGCUCCAAGCUGCUCAUGGAGGAGCUCUCCGCCAACGAACGCGCCCGCCUCGACGGACGCCCCGAAGGAACGGCCACCGCCCUCGCCAUCGGGCACGCUCCUGGCGGGACCUCCGUCACCACCUCCGGGCACCACCAGUGGCUCCACCGACCGCGACAGAGGCCCCGCCUCUCCUGCCAGCGAUCGCGACCGAGGAGGACGCGGCCGUGGCCGCGGACGUGGACGUGGGCGCGGCUCCGGCGCCGGGCGCGGUUCGCCUUCUCCGGGACCCGCCGCACCACCAGCUGGCUUCUUCGCCCCCUACGGCACCCUCCUCACCAACGUACCCGCUGCUCGGCCUCCCUGGGUGGCUCCCAACGCAGCCGGCCUCCUCGGCCCGCGUCCGCCUCCGGUGCACCAGGCCUAUCCCGUGGCCGCCCCUCCCACUCCCAGCAUCGGGCGAUCUUGGGAGCAGUACCACCAACUCUACGCGGCCCUCCAGAACCUGACCCUGCAGCAACAACAUGCCGGCGGCACGCCGGACUGGUUCCUCGACACGGGCGCUACGUCGCACGUCGCAGGUAACGCAAACACUCUCACCUCGUAUGGUUCUCCCUCUUUGCGUCACUCCUCUGGCAUCCUCGUCGGUGACGGUUCCCGCCUACCCAUCACUGCCGUCGGCUCCACCUCUCUCUCCAAUUUUUCUCUCAAUGAUGUGUUGAUCUCCCCCUCCAUCAUCAAAAAUCUUAUUUCAGUACGCCGUUUCACUAUAGACAACUUUUGCUCUAUUGCUUUUGACCCUUUCGGUUUUUCCGUGACGGACCUAGCAACGGGGAGGCUGAUCAUGAGAUCAAAUAGUCAUGGAGACCUCUACCCUUUCUUCAGCAACUCCGGUGUGCAGGCAGCCCUCUCCAUCACCACCGACGAUCUCUGGCAUCUUCGCUUGGGUCACGCCAACAAUAACGCCGUCUCCACCAUCGCCCGUAGUUUUCUUCCCAAUUGUAAUAACAUCCCUAGUCACCAUGUGAUGGGGUUAUAGUCCUAGGGUAGGGUCAUAGGCCUGCCCUAUAGGUCCUACCCAGGGACUACCGCUCGCAGAGGACAAGACCCUUAGUCAACUCCGACUGAAUUAAGGAAUCCCUGUCGUCCAGUCGGUAACAUACCCUCGGUCCUCCAGUCGGUGACUAGCAUUCNCGGAACCGUUGUGGAGGGCAGCGCACUCUAUAUAAGCCACCCUCCCCCACUGGUAGAGGGGUUAGCAAAUCAUUGUAUUCCAUAUUCCACUCGACAACAAGCUCCGAGAGCACUGAGACGUAGGGCUGUUACCUCCACCGGAGAGGGGCCUGAACUCAUACAAUCUCGCCGUAGCUAUGACUCUGCCCAUCUCAUUCGUACCCUACACAUCUACUGUCAGGCUUAUACCCACGACAGUUGGCGCCCAUCGUGGGGCAGGCGUCUAAGCGACUUCUGGCGAGUUUGCGACUACUUCCUUUCGUCAUGUCGUCCGGUGGAGAUUCGAGCAUGGGUCACCAGAUCUUCUUCGGCGCUCUUUCCUUCAUCGUCGACGAUUCGGCGUGGCUUCGGGAGGCUCCUCUCGACGUCGAGGCGCUUCCCGUCGUGGGGCUACGCACUUCCGUGCCGGCGCCCACGGCAUUCUUCUUCUCCAACAAUAGGCUCCGUUGUCGACCUGCACCUCCGUCAUGCGCCGAAACAAGCGGUCCCGCCGUCCGCGUCUCCAGCAUUGGGUGCAGCACGCCCAGGCGCGCCAGAUCGCGUCUUCUCAGGUGGCAGUUCUGGAGUCUGUUGUGAUUGCCCCGCGUUCCCAGCGCUCGGGCUCAGUUCCGACUGAGUUUCCUUCCGAGUACGCGGGUCGCGGGCCUGCAGCAGAAGUUCACAUGGCCAACUCCCAUAAAGAUCCCCGUCAAGCUGGCCGAAGCGAGCGCGAGGUCGGUGAAGCAUCCGGUGCGCGCCGUCCACCUCGCCGUUCUGCCAGUCGACACACUCGGCGGAGCAACGUGGAGUUGUUCCGCACGCCCCUCCUCAACUUGGCUGCAGCUGCCAAGAUAGCCGAUUCCCUCCAGCCGACUGAUUCAGAGGCAGGAAGGGGGAUCGAGCAGAUCCGAGCCCUGUUGCACAUGACACAACAACAGAAUUCGGCGGUCUCCCAGUCGCACAACCGGAUCUAUAAUAGUUCCGUCCACGGGAAUACGCAUCGGUCGGUUCACAGCCCUGGUUCCCAUCAGCGCCACAGGGGAGGCAGCCGUUCCAUGAUUCAUGAAGAUCGACGCCGCUCAUGCACCCCUCUGCGGGGUGGGCCCUAUGGGUCCCGACGUCAUGAUGAUCGGCGUUCAGUCGGCGACACUUACGACCCAAGACCCGACGCAAGAGGACAUAUCGCCCAGCGAAGAGUCGACAGAGGUCGAGCCCACCGUGAUGGUCACUAUAUGGACCGUCCAAGUGGAAGCAGGGCCAUCGUGUCCGGUACCGAGUGUUUUAGUCGAGCCAUCCGCUCAGCUGACAUCCCGCCCAACUUCCGAUUGGCAGCGGGAAUCAGUAGGUUUACAGGAGAGUCCAAACCGGAAACGUGGUUGGAUGACUACCGAGUGGCAGUCCAGAUCGGAGGAGGGGACGACCAUGUCGCCAUGAAGCACCUCCCUCUGAUGCUCGACGGCUUGGUGCGAGCGUGGCUGAACCAGUUGGCCCCCUCGAGCAUUUACAGUUGGGCGGAUCUGGCCCGAGUGUUCAUCAGGACCUUUGAAGGGACAUGCAAGCACCCUGCAGGCCUCGUGGAGCUCCAGCACUACGUCCAGAAGCCGAAUGAGCCCCUGCGCGACUUCAUCCAGCGUUGGACAACUCUCUACCACACGGUGGAGAACGUCACCGAGCAUCAAGCAGUCUGCGCCUUCAAGGCAGGCGUGCGGUACAGAGAGCUGUACCUAAAGUUCGGUCGAACAGGCGACAUCUCCAUGAGCAAGAUGAUGGAGAUAGCGGCUCGCUAUGCAAAUGGCGAAGAAGAGGACCGCAUCCGGAGCGGCAAGCACAAGACAGUCGGUGAUGGAGACGGGAGUAACACUCGGAAACAGAAGCAUAAAGCUCCAUCCACUCCGCAAGCAGAGGCUGCAGUCGUGACCAAUGCCAAGUUCAAGGGCAAAGGGAAGGCGCAGUUUACCCCCAAGAAGAAGCAGUUCAACAAUCCCAUCCUGGACCAGCCUUGUCCGGUUCACACGAAGAGGGCAACCCCAUAUAUGCGAAGCAUACCACUCGACAGUGUCGUCUCCUGAUCCAGGGUUUCAGCGAGGGGCAACCAAGUGAGAAGGACCCUGAACAAGAUGAGGAGGAUAAGGAGGAUUCGUUCCCCCAAGUCCAUGCAACCCUCAUGAUUUUUGCUGACAUCGAAAGCAAGAGUCGACUGAAGCUGGUGAACAGGGAGGUUAACAUGGCCACUCCAACCAGUCCCAAGUUCCUUAAAUGGUCUCAGACUGCGAUCACUUUCGACCAGUCGGAUCAUCCAGUACAUGUACCCACCCCGGGAAGACAGGCUCUGGUCGUCGACCCGGUAGUGGAAGGAGUCUGACUGCGCAAAGUCCUCAUGGAUGGCGGUAGCGGCUUGAACAUCAUGUACGCCGACACACUCAAGGGGAUGGGCAUUCCGAUGUCCAAACUCAGCGAGAGCAGCAUGCAGUUCCACGGAGUCGUCCCUGGACGGAAGGCCAAGUCACUCGGCCAGAUCGCGCUGGACGUCAUUUUCGGCUCCGACAAGAACUUCCGCAAGGAGAAGCUGACGUUCGAAGUGGUCGAUUUCCAGAGCGCUUAUCACGCAAUUCUGGGUCGCCCAGCGUAUGCGCGUUUCAUGGCCCGUCCAUGUUACGUAUACCUGAAGCUGAAGAUGCCAGGCCCGAAGGGUGUGAUCACCAUCACGGGCAAUCGACAGCGAGCCGAAGAGUGCCUACAGCAAGGUUCAAGAAUCGCCGACCAGCAGAUGGCCGUUCUCGAGCUCGACGAGUACAAGAAAACAGUCGACCCCGCCGACCUGAUGCGCUCGAAGAAGCCAGCUUCUGAAUCUGCGUUCCAGUCGGCAGGAGAGACGAAGAAGGUCAGCAUCCACCCCACGGACGACUCUGCUGCACCGACGAACAUCUCCACCACCCUCGAUCCUAAAUAGGAAGCCGAGCUCACCCAAUUCCUCCGUGAGAACUGGGACAUCUUCGCAUGGAAACCCUCUGACAUGCCAGGUGUACCCAGGGAGUUGACUGAGCAUCGACUGCACGUGGAUCCUGCCGCUCGGCCCGUCCGAGAGCGCCUGCGCCGGUCCGCCGCGCACAAGAGGAAGGCAAUCGGGGAAGAGGUGGCCAAACUGCUAGCAGCCAACUUCAUUCGCGAGGUUCACCACUCCGAGUGGCUCGCCAAUGUUGUCAUGGUGCCCAAGAAGGACAAGUCGCUCCGAAUGUGCAUCGACUUCAAGCAUCUCAAUAAGGUCUGCCCGAAAGACCAUUUUCCGCUCCCCCGCAUAGAUCAAAUUGUCGAUUCGACUGCGGGUUGCGAGCGUCUGUCAUUUCUUGAUGCCUACUCGGGCUAUCAUCAGAUCUGUCUGUAUGGUCCCGAUGAGUUAAAAACAGCCUUCAUCACCCCAUUCGAGUGCUUCUCCUACAUCACUAUGCCCUUCGGUCUGAAGAAUGCAGGAGCUACCUUUAUGCGCAUGAUCCAAAAAUGUCUCCUCGACCAAAUCGGUCGGAAUGUGGAGGCAUAUAUGGAUGAUAUCGUAGUCAAGUCACGCAAAGGUUCCGACCUGCUGACUGACUUGGCAGAAACAUUCGCCAACCUUCGUAGGUACGAUAUCAAGCUCAACCCAGCCAAAUGUUCGUUCGGUGUUCCCAGCGGAAAGUUACUCGGUUUCUUCGCUUCUGAACGAGGGAUCGACGUCAACCCCGAAAAGAUCGGGACCAUCGUCCGAAUGGAGAGGCCGGUCAGACUACAUGAUGUUCAACGGCUCACAGGUUGCCUAGCGGCUUUGAGCGGGUUCAUCAGUCGACUCGGCGAGAAAGCACUUCCUCUGUACCGACUCAUGAAGAAAUCAGAUACUUUCGAGUGGACAGACGAAGCCCAAGUCGCAUUCGACGACCUCAAAGUCCUACUUUCCACCCAGCCGGUUCUUACUGCUCCGCUCAGUAAAGAGCCCCUUCUUCUGUAUAUCACGGCUACAAAUCAAGUCGGCAGUACUGUUCUUACAGUCGAACGAGAAGAAGAAGGCAAAGCAUACAAAGUUCAACGGCCAGUGUACUACGUCUCCGAAGUCCUGACUCCUUCCAAGCAGAGGUAUCCCCAUUAUCAAAAACUUAUCUACGGGAUUUACAUGACUGCGAAGAAGGUGGCCCAUUAUUUCCAAGACCACUCGGUGUCUGUCGUUUCUGAUGCUCCAUUGUCGGAAAUUCUCCACAAUCAAGAUGCGUCAGGUCAAGUGGCGAAGUGGGCAAUGGAGAUGUUGUACUGCGACAUCAAGUUCGAGGCCAAGAAAGCUAUUAAGUCUCAAGCUCUGGCUGACUUUAUAGCAGAAUGGGUAGAACAACAGCAACCGACCCACAUCUGCUCGGCUCAUUGGACAAUGUUCUUCGAUGGGUCUAAGAUGUUGAAUGGCUCCGGCGCUGGCGUUGUGAUCAUAUCACCAAAGGGCGACAAGCUCAAGUACGUGCUACAGAUACACUUCGAUUCCUCCAAUAACGAGGCAGAGUAUGAAGCUCUCCUCUACGGAUUGCGCAUGGCCAUCUCACUCAGCGUCCAUCGCCUGAUGGUCUACGGCGAUUCGGAUUUGGUGGUCAAUCAAGUGAUGAAAGAGUGGGACGUCAGGAACCCCACCAUGACCACAUACUGCAAUGCAGUGAGGAAGCUGGAGAAGAAGUUUAAAGGUCUAGAGCUCCACCAUGUACCGAGAUUGAAGAACCAAGCAGCUGAUGAGUUGGCAAAACUCGGAUCCACUCGGAGACCAGUCCCGAGUGAUGUCUGCCUCGAGCACCUCCACCUUCCCUCAGUCAAAGAAGAUCCUUUCACAGAGGAACCAGUACAACCCAAGAGCUCAACAGAUCCGACUGAAGUCGAUGUACCUGCUGUGGUUGAUCUGGUCAUGGAGCUUCUGGCUGUCAUCCCCGAUUGGACUGUGCCGAUCAUUGCAUAUGUCCUGAGGCAAGAACUUCCAGAAGACGAAGUCCAAGCCAGGCAAAUAGUCCGCAGGUCGAAGUCAUUCACUGUCAUCGACGACCAAUUGUACAAGGAAAUCGUCUCAGGUGUUCUUCAACGAUGCAUCUCCCCAGAGGAGGGGCAGCUGAUCCUGGAGGAUAUUCACUCGGGAACCUGCGGUCAUCACGCUUCUUCGAGAGCAAUCGUCGCCAAGGCGUUCAGAGCCGGUUUCUUUUGGCUGCAGGAAAACGAGAUGGCUAAAGAUAUGGUCGACCGAUGUGGAGGCUGUCAGUUCUACUCCAACAAAUCCCACAAGCCAACAUCUGCGUUGAAGACAAUUCCUCUUGUGUGGUCGUUUGCAGUUUGGGGAUUAGAUUCAGUCGGACCAUUCAAGACAGGCCAAGGGGGAUACACACAUCUGUUGGUGGCAGUCGACAAGUUCACGAAAUGGAUCGAAGCCAAGCCCAUCAAGAAACUCGACGCCUCAACAGCCGUCAAGUUUAUUAGGGACAUCAUCUCCAGAUUCGGUGUACCCCACAUCAUAAUCACGGACAAUGGGACAAACUUCGACUCGGACAGGUUCAAAGGUUUCUGUGCAAGCCAAGGUAUCCGAGUGGAUUUUGCUUCCGUAGCACAUCCUCAGUCCAAUGGACAAGCUGAGCGGGCGAACGGGCUUAUUCUUCAAGGUUUGAAGCCCCGACUCCUACGAGAGGUGGGACACGCCGCUGGCGCAUGGGUCACCGAGUUACCUUCAGUGCUUUGGGGUCUCCGCACCACUCCGAACAGAUCAAUGGGGCGAUCACCGUUCUUCCUCGUCUAUGGAGCAGAAGCGGUCCUCCCGAGUGACUUGCUUCAUAAUGCUCCACGAGUCGAACUCUUCUCCGAAGCUGAAGCAGAACAAGCAAGGCAAGAUGGAGUAGAUCUUCUAGAGGAGGAGCGCGAGAUGGCGCUAACUCGUUCAACCAUUUAUCAGCAAGAUCUGCGACGCUUUCAUGCGCGUCACGUCAGAAGUCGCACAUUCCAAGCAGGCGACUUAGUGCUCCGAGUGGAUCAGCAAAGACCCCACAAGUUGGCUCCGGCCUGGGAAGGACCUUUCAUCAUCUCCAAGGUGCUAAACAACGGAGCAUACAGACUCUACAACAUCCAGAGGGAGACAGACGAGCCGCGUGCAUGGAACGGAGACCUCCUCAAGCGCUUCUACACGUGAUCGUCGACUGAAGCAGUGUAAAGAACAAAUAUUGAUGAAAUAAUAUAAAGCAGAUUCAGUUCUUGCAGAUUCCGAAUUCUUCCGCGGUUGCUGACUCCGGUCACACACACACAAAAAAAAAA